AACGAACGCUGGCGGCAUGCCUAAUACAUGCAAGUCGAACGAGAUCUUCGGAUCUAGUGGCGCACGGGUACGUAACGCGUGGGAAUCUGCCCUUGGGUUCGGAAUAACAGCGGGAAACUGCUGCUAAUACCGGAUGAUGACGUAAGUCCAAAGAUUUAUCGCCCAGGGAUGAGCCCGCGUAGGAUUAGGUAGUUGGUGGGGUAAAGGCCUACCAAGCCUACGAUCCUUAGCUGGUCUGAGAGGAUGAUCAGCCACACUGGGACUGAGACACGGCCCAGACUCCUACGGGAGGCAGCAGUAGGGAAUAUUGGACAAUGGGGGCAACCCUGAUCCAGCAAUGCCGCGUGAGUGAUGAAGGCCUUAGGGUUGUAAAGCUCUUUUACCCGGGAUGAUAAUGACAGUACCGGGAGAAUAAGCCCCGGCUAACUCCGUGCCAGCCGCCGCAGUAA
rnacentral:rRNA from 1 species